GAUGGACGCUGGCGGCGUGCCUAAUACAUGCAAGUCGAGCGAACAGACGAGGAGCUUGCUCCUCUGACGUUAGCGGCGGACGGGUGAGUAACACGUGGAUAACCUACCUAUAAGACUGGGAUAACUUCGGGAAACCGGAGCUAAUACCGGAUAAUAUAUUGAACCGCAUGGUUCAAUAGUGAAAGACGGUUUUGCUGUCACUUAUAGAUGGAUCCGCGCCGCAUUAGCUAGUUGGUAAGGUAACGGCUUACCAAGGCAACGAUGUGUAGCCGACCUGAGAGGGUGAUCGGCCACACUGGAACUGAGACACGGUCCAGACUCCUACGGGAGGCAGCAGUAGGGAAUCUUCCGCAAUGGGCGAAAGCCUGACGGAGCAACGCCGCGUGAGUGAUGAAGGUCUUCGGAUCGUAAAACUCUGUUAUUAGGGAAGAACAAAUGUGUAAGUAACUAUGCACGUCUUGACGGUACCUAAUGAGAAAGCCACGGCUAACUACGUG
rnacentral:rRNA from 1 species